GUUUCCUUAGUACAGUGGUUAGUACACUAGUCAUGGAUAUAACUGAUGUGGGUUCAACUCCCACAGGACACA
rnacentral:tRNA from 1 species